CACGUAGGGGGCGAGCGUUGUCCGGAAUUAUUGGGCGUAAAGAGCUCGUAGGCGGUCUGUCGCGUCGGCUGUGAAAACCCGAGGCUCAACCUCGGGCCUGCAGUCGAUACGGGCAAACUAGAGUACUGCAGGGGAGACUGGAAUUCCUGGUGUAGCGGUGAAAUGCGCAGAUAUCAGAAGGAACACCGGUGGCGAAGGCGGGUCUCUGGGCAGUAACUGACGCUGAGGAGCGAAAGCGUGGGGAGCGAACAGG
rnacentral:rRNA from 1 species